GAUGAACGCUGGCGGCGUGCCUAAUACAUGCAAGUCGAGCGAACAGAUGAGGAGCUUGCUCCUCUGACGUUAGCGGCGGACGGGUGAGUAACACGUGGAUAACCUACCUAUAAGACUGGGAUAACUUCGGGAAACCGGAGCUAAUACCGGAUAAUAUAUUGAACCGCAUGGUUCAAUAGUGAAAGACGGUUUUGCUGUCACUUAUCGAUGGAUCCGCGCCGCAUUAGCUAGUUGGUAAGGUAACGGCUUACCAAGGCAACGAUGCGUAGCCGACCUGAGAGGGUGAUCGGCCACACUGGAACUGAGAAACGGUCAAGACUCCUACGGGAGGCAGCAGUAGGGAAUCUGCCGCAAUGGGCGAAAGCCUGACGGAGCAACGCCGCGUGAGUGAUGAAGGUCUUCGGAUCGUAAAACUCUGUUAUUAGGGAAGAACAAAUGUGUAAGUAACUACGCACGUCUUGACGGUACCUAAUCAGAAAGCCACGGCUAACUACGUG
rnacentral:rRNA from 1 species